CAGGACGAACGCUGGCGGCGUGCCUAACACAUGCAAGUCGAGCGAGGAGAUCCUUCGGGAUGAUCCUAGCGGCGGACGGGUGAGUAACACGUGGGCAACCUGCCUCAUAGAGAGGAAUAGCCUUCCGAAAGGGAGAUUAAUACCUCAUAACAUUGCAGUUUCGCAUGGAACAGCAAUUAAAGGAGUAAUCCGCUAUGAGAUGGGCCCGCGGCGCAUUAGCUAGUUGGUGAGGUAACGGCUCACCAAGGCGACGAUGCGUAGCCGACCUGAGAGGGUGAUCGGCCACAUUGGGACUGAGACACGGCCCAGACUCCUACGGGAGGCAGCAGUGGGGAAUAUUGCACAAUGGGGGAAACCCUGAUGCAGCCAACGCCGCGUGAGUGAUGACGGCCUUCGGGUUGUAAAGCUCUGUCUUCAGGGACGAUAAUGACGGUACCUGAGGAGGAAGCCACGGCUAACUACGUGCCAGCAGCUGC
rnacentral:rRNA from 1 species